rnacentral:rRNA from 1 species
GAUUAUUGAAAGGUGCUUGCAUCUUGAUUUAAUUUUGAACGAGUGGCGGACGGGUGAGUAACACGUGGGUAACCUGCCCUUAAGUGGGGGAUAACAUUUGGAAACAGAUGCUAAUACCGCAUAAAUCCAAGAACCGCAUGGUUCUUGGCUGAAAGAUGGCGUAAGCUAUCGCUUUUGGAUGGACCCGCGGCGUAUUAGCUAGUUGGUGAGGUAACGGCUCACCAAGGCAAUGAUACGUAGCCGAACUGAGAGGUUGAUCGGCCACAUUGGGACUGAGACACGGCCCAAACUCCUACGGGAGGCAGCAGUAGGGAAUCUUCCACAAUGGACGCAAGUCUGAUGGAGCAACGCCGCGUGAGUGAAGAAGGCUUUCGGGUCGUAAAACUCUGUUGUUGGAGAAGAAUGGUCGGCAGAGUAACUGUUGUCGGCGUGACGGUAUCCAACCAGAAAGCCACGGCUAACUACGUGCCAGCAGCCGCGGUAAUACGUAGGUGGCAAGCGUUAUCCGGAUUUAUUGGGCGUAAAGCGAGCGCAGGCGGUUUUUUAAGUCUGAUGUGAAAGCCCUCGGCUUAACCGAGGAAGUGCAUCGGAAACUGGGAAACUUGAGUGCAGAAGAGGACAGUGGAACUCCAUGUGUAGCGGUGAAAUGCGUAGAUAUAUGGAAGAACACCAGUGGCGAAGGCGGCUGUCUGGUCUGUAACUGACGCUGAGGCUCGAAAGCAUGGGUAGCGAACAGGAUUAGAUACCCUGGUAGUCCAUGCCGUAAACGAUGAAUGCUAGGUGUUGGAGGGUUUCCGCCCUUCAGUGCCGCAG